AGUGAACGCUGGCGGCAGGCCUAACACAUGCAAGUCGAGCGGUAGCACAGUAAGGCUUUCUCCCUACGUGACGCGCGUCGCACGGGGGAGAAGUGUCCAUGAGACUGUCCUUUUUAGGGGGGGAACUACUGGAAACGGUAACUCAUACACCAUAACGUCCCAAGAGCAAAAAGGAGGACAUCCUGGCCCCUUGCGCGCAUGAGUGCCCCGAUGUCGGAUUAGCUAGUUGGUGGGGUAAUGGCUCACCUAGGCGACGAUCCGUAGCUGGUCUGAGAGGAUGAUCAGCCACACUGGAACUGAGACACGGUCCAGACUCCUACGGGAGGCAGCAGUGGGGAAUAUUGGACAAUGGGCGCAAGCCUGAUGCAGCCAUGCCGCGUGUGUGAAGAAGGCCUUCGGGUUGUAAAGCCCUUUUGUUGAGGAAGAAGGUCGUCAGCUUAAUACGCUCAUGUAUUGACGGUACUCGAAGAAGAAGCACCGGCUAACUCCGUG
rnacentral:rRNA from 1 species